UCCCUGAUGGUCCAGUGGGUAAGACUCUGCACUCCAAAUGCAGGGAGCCCAGGGUUCGAUCCCUGGUCAGGGAA